rnacentral:rRNA from 1 species
CCUACGGGUGGCAGCAGUGGGGAAUAUUGGGCAAUGGGCGCAAGCCUGACCCAGCAACGCCGCGUGAAGGAAGAAGGCUUUCGGGUUGUAAACUUCUUUUCUGAGGGACGAAGGAAGUGACGGUACCUUAGGAAUAAUCCACGGCUAACUACGUGCCAGCAGCCGCGGUAAUACGUAGGUGGCGAGCGUUGUCCGGAUUUAUUGGGUGUAAAGGGAGUGUAGGCGGGAAAAUAAGUCAGAUGUGAAAACUCAGGGCUCAACCGUAGAACUGCAUCAGAAACUGUUGUGCUUGAGUGCUGGAGAGGCAAUCGGAAUUCCGUGUGUAGCGGUGAAAUGCGUAGAUAUAUGGAGGAACACCAGUGGCGAAGGCGGAUUGCUGGACAGCAACUGACGCUGAGGCGCGAAAGCGUGGGGAGCAAACAGGAUUAGAUACCCCAGUAGUC